rnacentral:rRNA from 1 species
GAUGAACGCUGGCGGCGUGCUUAACACAUGCAAGUCGAGCGAGAAGUUUUGAAAAGAUUCUUCGGAUGAAAUUUAAAAUGGAAAGCGGCGGACGGGUGAGUAACGCGUAGGCAACCUGCCCCAUACAAAGGGAUAGCAUUUGGAAACGAAUAUUAAUACCUUAUGAAACUUAACUAGUGCAUGCUAGGUAGGUCAAAGAUUUAUCGGUAUGGGAUGGGCCUGCGUCUGAUUAGCUAGUUGGUGAGGUAACGGCUCACCAAGGCGACGAUCAGUAGCCGACCUGGGAGGGUGAACGGCCACAUGGGAACUGAGACACGGUCCAAACUCCUACGGGAGGCAGCAGUGGGGAAUAUUGCACAAUGGGGGAAACCCUGAUGCAGCAACGCCGCGUGAACGAGGAAGGCCUUUGGGUCGGAAAGUUCUGUUCUAGGUGAUGAAAACUGACAGUAACCUAGGAGAAAGCCCCGGCUAACUCCGUG